CCGCCGGCCGCGGGCGAGCGGGACGUCAGCGCUGCCAGCGUGGAAACGGCGGCGGAGCUCGGGAGGCGGAAGUAGUGCCCGGGAUUGCCGGGCCUCCAUCGGGCUCCACCGGCCGCCUUAGCCAUGGACGCGCCCCUGGAGAAGAUAGCAGACCCUACACUAGCUGAAAUGGGAAAAAACUUGAAGGAGGCCAUGAAGAUGCUAGAGGACAGUCAGAGAAGAACAGAGGAGGAAAAUGGAAAGAAGCUCCUAUCAGGGGAUAUUCCAGGGCCACUGCAAGGCAGUGGACAGGACAUGGUGAGCAUCCUCCAGUUAGUUCAGAAUCUGAUGCACGGAGAUGAAGAUGAGGAGCCCCAGAGUACCCGAAUCCAGAAUAUUGGAGAACAAGGUCAUAUAGCUUUGUUGGGGCACAGUCUGGGAGCUUACAUUUCAACUCUGGACAAAGAGAAGCUGAGAAAACUUACAACUAGGAUACUUUCAGACACUACCUUAUGGCUAUGCAGAAUUUUCAGGUAUGAAAAUGGCUGUGCUUAUUUCCACGAAGAAGAAAGAGAAGGACUUGCAAAGAUCUGUAGGCUUGCCAUUCAUUCCCGUUAUGAAGACUUUGUGGUGGAUGGGUUCAAUGUGUUAUAUAACAAGACGCCUGUUAUAUAUUUAAGUGCUGCUGCUAGGCCUGGCCUGGGCCAGUACCUCUGUAAUCAGGUAAUGCGGCAUAAGGUGGAUAUUUUAAAGAAACGAUGUUUUGUUCUGUCCUGGAAGUUUUUCUUUAGCUGCUGUUUUUUUCAAGUGAAAAGAAAGCUUGGCUUGCCCUUCCCCUGCUUGUGUCGUGUACCCUGUAACACUAUGUUUGGAUCCCAGCAUCAGAUGGACGUUGCCUUCCUGGAGAAACUGAUUAAAGAUGACAUAGAACGAGGAAAACUGCCCCUGUUGCUUGUUGCAAAUGCUGGAACUGCAGCAGUAGGGCACACAGAUAAGAUUGGGCGUUUGAAAGAGCUCUGUGAGCAGUACGGCAUAUGGCUCCACGUGAAAGGUGUGAAUCUGGCAACAUUGGCUCUAGGUUAUGUCUCCUCAUCAGUGCUGGCUGCAACCAAAUGUGACAGCAUGACGUUGACUCCAGGCCCAUGGCUGGGUUUGCCAGCAGUUCCUGCUGUGACGCUUUAUAAGCACGACGAUCCUGCCUUGACUUUAGUUGCCGGUCUUACAUCAAAUAAGCCAACAGACAAGCUCCGUGCUCUGCCACUGUGGUUGUCUUUACAAUACUUGGGACUUGAUGGGAUUGUGGAGAGGAUUAAGCAUGCCUGUCAGCUGAGUCAGCGAUUGCAAGAAAGUUUGAAGAAAGUGAACCACGUCAAAAUCUUGGUGGAGGAUGAGCUCAGUUCGCCAGUGGUGGUAUUCAGAUUUUUCCAGGAGUUACCAGGCUCAGAUCCAGGACUUAAUGCCAUCCCAGCGCCCAACAUGGCCCCGUCAGCAGUCAGCCAGGAGAGGCACUCCUGCGACUCACUGAACCGCUGGCUGGGAGAACAGCUGAAGCAGCUGGUGCCCGCGAGUGGCCUCACGGUCAUGGAUCUGGAGGUGGAGGGCACGUGCGUGCGGUUCAGCCCCCUGACUACCGCGGCAGUUUUAGGAACUCGGGGAGAGGAUGUGGAUCAGCUCGUAGCCUGCAUCCAGAGCCAGCUGCCAGUCCUGACCUGUACACUACAGCUGCGAGAGGAGUUCAAGCAGGAGGUGAUGGGAACAGCAGGUCUCUUAUACGUUGAUGACCCAAACUGGCCUGGAAUAGGGGUUGUCAGGUAUGAACACGCUAAUGAUGAUAAGAGCAGUUUGAAAUCGGAUCCAGAAGGGGAAAAAAUCCAUGCUGGACUCCUGAAAAAGUUAAAUGAACUGGAAUCUGACCUUACAUUUAAAAUGGGCCCUGAGUAUAAAAGCAUGAAGAGCUGUAUUUACAUUGGCAUGGCAAGUGACGACAUAGAUGUUUCUGAACUAGUGGAGACCAUUGCAGUCACAGCCCGAGAAAUCGAGGAAAACUCCAGGCUUCUGGAAAACAUGACAGAAGUGGUUCGGAAAGGAAUUCAGGAAGCUCAGGUUCAACUGCAGAAGGCAAAUGAGGAGCGACUUCUGGAAGAGGGGGUGUUACGGCAAAUCCCCGUGGUAGGAUCCGUGCUGAAUUGGUUUUCUCCAGUACAGGCUUCACAAAAGGGAAGAACUUUUAACCUAACGGCAGGCUCCCUGGAGUCCACGGAACACACAUACGUGUACAAAGUACAAGGCUCGGGAGUAACACCGCCUCAGACCCCCUCAGGCGCUCGCACUAAACAGAGACUUCCAGGCCAGAAGCCUUUUAAAAGGUCCCUAAGAGGUUCAGAUGCUGUGAGCGAGACCAGCUCAGUCAGUCACAUCGAGGACUUAGAGAAGAUCGAGCACCUGUCGGGUGGGCAAGAUGCCUCGGAAGCUAACAGCCCUGAGCGGCACCCAGGGGUGCCCACCCCUCCAGAAGCCGAGCAGACGGGGGCCCUCCAGGACAGGGCCCAGCGCCUGGAAGAUGACUGCCCACAGGCUGAUCACGCCAGACUACUGCUGAAAUAAUUGGAAGUAACCCUUGAUUACUGCCUGUUUCUACUUCCCCAAAAGUACUGCAUCACUUCGUUUAUCAUAGAUGAGGAAACCAAGGUCCACAGAUUUAAGAUUUACCCAACCUGUAAAUUCUCACCUCUAGUAUUUGCUUAUCAUCUUGCUGCAACCAGAAAUCCACAUGGGGAAAUGGCAUCCAGGAAUAUGGUCCUAUACGAAGUUGUUCUGUCUCUGCAUCGUAAAUACUAAUCAUCUAAAAAAGAACGUUUCAAGGAUAGAAUUUAAGGAAUGUUAUCAGCUUAAACCCUACCUUUAAUGCAAGCUCCAGUGUAGUCUUGAAAUUAAGGCAUUUGUCUGGAUGAUAAGCUUCUUUCAAUUUUUGUCUCAUAAGUAACAGAAGCUGCUACUUACUGAAUACUUUCCACCUCUCUGGUACUACACUUUGUGGGAAACAGACAUUACUUUGUUUAGUUCUGACAACAGUCCUGCAGGAAGAUGGCAUUUUUCCCAUUUUGGUUGGAAACCCGAGGCUCAGAGAGACGGGCCCGUUGCCCAUGGUCACAUGUCCAUAAGAGUUAGGGCCAGGCCCAGACCCAGGUGUGUCUGACUGAAGUCCACACUCCUCAAUGCUACAUGAAACACUGCCUCAUUAUUCACACCCCGAGUAACCUUGAAACUUAAAAGUACACAUGCCAUUGCCCCAUCAGAAAAAGGGGAAAACCAAUUUGUAAAAAUGUUAAUUUGCCAAAUGAUCAAUUCCCUGAAUUCUCAAAUGUGCCAAUGGUAGUUUUCAGCUUCACCAGCAAUGUUCAAUUUUGGUUACUGAGACUGAAAUAUGUCCUGAAUCUUAGCUAAAUCAAGGCUGUUAUGCUACUUGAGAGGCUGCAAAAGGAACCCUAACAAUGUCAAAGGGUUGGCAGAACAGACCAUUGAAUCCAGACAUUUCCAAUGAAAGUGGCAGUAUUUCAUAAGUGAGCAGAUUUCUUUUGGGUGCUCUGAAUGCGAUUUCUAUUUUUUUCACUUUAAGCAUUUUAAAAGGAUUCUUUCACCCAUUCCUCAAUGUGUAAGUCUUAGGUUUUUAUUUUUCUAACUUUUAAAAUGAAGGUGUUACUUAAUUAAAAAGCACCCUAAAGCAAUCAGA